CCGGCGGCUUGCGCCGCCGGCCAAAUCCUUUCGGGCCUUCGGCCCU
rnacentral:sRNA from 1 species